GGUAGGCUUAUACUGCAGUCGAGCGAGCUUGCCUAGAUGAUUUUAGUGCUUGCACUAAAUGAAACUAGAUACAAGCGACCGUCGGACGGGUGAGUAACACGUGGGUAACCUGCCCAAGAGACUCGGUAAAACACCUGGAAACAGAUGCUAAUACCGGAUAACAACACUAGACGCAUGUCUAGAGUUUGAAAGAUGGUUCUGUUAUCACUCUUGGAUGGACCUGCGGUGCAUUAGCUAGUUGGUAAGGUAACGGCUUACCAAGGCAAUGAUGCAUAGCCGAGUUGAGAGACUGAUCGGCCACAUUGGGACUGAGACACGGCCCAAACUCCUACGGGAGGCAGCAGUGGGGAAUCUUCCACAAUGGACGAAAGUCUGAUGGAGCAACGCCGCGUGAGUGAAGAAGGGUUUCGGCUCGUAAAGCUCUGUUGGUAGUGAAGAAAGAUAGAGGUAGCAACUGGCCUUUAUUUGACGGUAAUUACUUAGAAAGUCACGGCUAACUACGUGCCAGCAGCCGCGGUAAUACGUAGGUGGCAAGCGUUGUCCGGAUUUAUUGGGCGUAAAGCGAGUGCAGGCGGUUCAAUAAGUCUGAUGUGAAAGCCUUCGGCUCAACCGGAGAAUUGCAUCAGAAACUGUUGAACUUGAGUGCAGAAGAGGAGAGUGGAACUCCAUGUGUAGCGGUGGAAUGCGUANAUAUAUGGAAGAACACCAGUGGCGAAGGCGGCUCUCUGGUCUGCAACUGACGCUGAGGCU
rnacentral:rRNA from 1 species